rnacentral:hammerhead_ribozyme from 1 species
AUCCAGCUGAAGAGUCGCAACUAGGACGAAACGCGCGUCAAACUGGAU